AAGUGAAAUGUAGAAGUGCUCUCCAUUAAUCUUCAAGAGUGCUGCCAGGCCGAUUUUCUUCGGAGGUUAACGCGCAUCGGACAACUUUCUGCGUCUUUCGGACAUUAGUCGAAUUAAACCGAGUGAGAUCCCUGUGGAGCUUCCUCGAAGAAGGAUCCUAAUAUCACAUAUCAGUUAGAUGACCAAUUUAGGGCCUACAUGACUGCUGCAGCUCAGCGCUGGAGCUCAGAUCAAUGGAAUACUGUUGGGGAUACAACGGACCACACCCACACACUGAUUAGACCCUCUGAUUGGAUGUCACGUGGAUGUCUUGACCACUACCAUGGCUUUCAUGCAAAUUGAUCAAGGGUUGGACGCAGACGCAGACAAACACCUUCUAGUCCAAACAUACGUGCACACAAACAGUCACACGCACGUCGUCCCCCUUCUACAGCCAAGGGAAGUAAUGAAAACAAAUGGCAGAGUUCUAUUCCCACUGGGACCUGAGGAGGAACUUAGUCAUCAAGCUAAUUUUAUUCUUGUCUGGCUCAGAGACUCCAUUUCCUCUGGGUGUUUUUACAAACGCUGGGC